rnacentral:tRNA from 1 species
GGCAGAGUAGUUCAGCUGGUUAGAACGUUCGGCUCAUAUCCGGAAGGUCGGUGGUUCGAGUCCACCCUCUGCUACCA